rnacentral:rRNA from 1 species
GACGAACGCUGGCGGCGUGCUUAACACAUGCAAGUCGAGCGGAGCGGCGAACGGGGGAGUAACGCGUGAGUAACUGCCCCCCUCUCUGGGAUAAAAGUUGGAAACGGCUGCUAAUACCGGACAGUGGGGGAUGAAUGGUGUCGUAUCGGGUUGUUGGUGGGGUAGUGGCUUACCAAGGCGACGACGGGUAGCCGGCCUGAGAGGGCGACCGGCCACAUUGUGCUGGGGUACGGCCCAAACUCCUACGGGAGGCAGCAGUGGGGAGUAUUGCACAAGGGGGGAAACCCUGAUGCAGCAACGCCGCGUGCGGGAUGACGGCCUUCGGGUUGUAAGCCGCUUUCAGCCAUGACGCGGUAGUGGCAGAAGAAGCACCGGCUAACUACGUGCCAGCAGCCGCGGUAAUUC